UAAACUCGUAAUUGAAGCGUAUGAAGUUACUGACUUUCACAUCAUCUUUGUACAAAUAUGUCUGGAUCUGGACUAACGUGUGCCGUAAUCGGAUGUCACAAUAACAGCAGAAAGCUAAAAAUGUGGAAAAAGAGCGUAUGUGCGCUUCAUAGUCCACAGUUUAAAGAGGAUUGUCCUUGUUGUGUGCCCUACGGUGUACACCGCUUCCCCGGCCGUGCUGAGGAUGAAGACAUUCGCAAGAUGUGGAUUAAAAACGUACACCGAAAGGACUUUGCCCCCAAACAAGUAUUCAAGGGUGUGUGGAGUACACUUCCCUGACGGCAGACCAACGCAGGAACACCCAUGAAUAUAGUAAAGCACCAUCAUGUGGAAGACCACCCCAAAGAGGAGAUGUCUCCAGCCCCCAACAGAGAGACCAUGUGAUGAGCCUCCUGUGACAGAUUCUGACACCGAAGUAGGGCAUAGCUUGGAGGAUAGUCUGUCUCCACACCAAUGUGAUGUUGGCACUCAGUGGCCAGAGCGUAGUGAUCAUGAUUAUUGUUCGAUGAAGUCAACAAAAGAUGCAAGCACACAAACAGAUCCUACACCAUCACUGUCAGCUCAUGACAUGGAUGAUAAAGUGUCAAAAUUUUACACUGGACUAGACAUCAUCAGCUUUUGGCAACUUUUGAACACCAUCAUUGGCUUUCUUCCACAGUCGAAGACGUUCAAAUUACCAGUCCAUGAACAGCUACUGCUGGUCCUAAUGAGGCUUCGGCUUGGCUACAGCCUGUGAUAUGUUCGCAAUGUGGAGAGCAACACUUGCCAAUUUCACAAGGGAAAAUCUUAUGUUUUGGCUCCCUCGAGACACUCUGAAUAGAGUAAGACCCUCAAGUUUUCUUGAACACUAUCCCAAUGCAACAUGCAUCAUAGAUUGCACUGAA